CUCCUUCGUCUCCUCUGUAAGAGAGACGAGAAGGGAAAGAGAGACAACAAAGGUAAGAUACAUAGUAGAGUAGCUUGCGGUCUUCAAUGGACACAAUUCUGAUAUUCCUCCAAAUCUCGCAAACUCUGUCAACAAUCGGGUUCUUUCUCCCUCUCUUUUCUCUUGCUAGGUCACUCAUUCCAAAUAAUCCCUCUCUUUUUCCACACGUUAUGCGAUUCACUCUCAUAGCCAUUUCCAAACCCUAUAACUUUUAGACACCUACUCUUCGACAUUUGGAGAUCCUCUCACUCUCGCAUUCUUGAAUGGUUUCUGUUAAGAUUGGACUCACUCACGGUAGGAUUCACAUGCUUGGCCCAAUCAGAAUCGGUCAGUUUUGUAGUAAAGGAUCGUGAAAAUGACAUAAGGUUAAUGCCAAUAGCGAGAGAGAGAGGUCAAUUGGAAAAUUGACGGAGGAGGAGACAAAGUAUCAUUUGUUUCAGGUUUUGAUGAUUUAAAGUUUUAAGCCUUGGAAAAUCAAGGUCUUUUAAUUAUACCAAUGCUGGUAUGGAUGCAUUUUUUAAUGGUCUUCGCAGAUCAACUUUGUUUCUUUUAACUAUUGUUGUUUGAUAAUGUAAAU